AUUGCGGUACUUUUUACUUAAUAAGUGUAUGCGCAUGCUCAGUAGAAAUACCAGUUUGAAUGAAGCUAGCGAUGAUCGGACCAUCGGACUUAAGCCAAUGAACUAGCUGUCUUUGGCAGUUCCGGUGUCCCGUUUCAAGUUUUGAAUUCACAAACGAAGCGCCCAUUGAGUGUCGUCGUCUUGUAGCGAGUGUUAAGGAAGGAAGAUUCAUAGGCCUAAGAAAAUUUGCCAAGUCACAGUGAAGUAAAAUAUUUUCAAGCCUUGAAACUUUUUUUAACAACAUUUAAAUCUAUCCUGAACAACUUUGUUUCCUGACUUCAUCUGAACUGGAUCAAAAAUACUAAGAAGUUUCAAAAGCUCAAGAUUGUCAAAAUCGGGCCAGUUUGCAGAAUUCUGAAAUGCGACGUUGCAACUAGAUGUGAAAAAAGGGAGGCGAUUAAAUACUUUCUUAAUAACCUUUGUGAAAAGUAUGAGGGAAAAGGCAUUUGUACUUCUGAUACUAUGAUUCAUGGUGAAACUAUUGACGAUUUUUAUUGAUACACUCUU